UGAGGGAAUAUUGGGUCAAUGGGCGGAAGCCUGAACCAGCCAUGCCGCGUGAAGGAAUAAGGCCCUAUGGGUCGUAAACUUCUUUUGGCGGGGAGCAAUAAGGUCUACGUGUAGACCGAUGAGUGUACCACCAGAAUAAGCAUCGGCUAACUCCGUGCCAGCAGCCGCGGUAAUACGGAGGAUGCGAGCGUUAUCCGGAUUUAUUGGGUUUAAAGGGUGCGUAGGCGGUUUGUCAAGUCAGCGGUCAAACUGCGGGGCUUAACCUCGUAUUGCCGUUGAAACUGGCUGACUAGCGUGGCGUCGAGGUGUGCGGAAUGCGUUGUGUAGCGGUGAAAUGCAUGAUAUGACGCAGAACUCCGAUUGCGAAGGCAGCACACCGGGCGCCUACGGACGCUGAGGCACGAAGCGUGGGUAUCGAACAGGAUUAGAUACCCUGGUAGU
rnacentral:rRNA from 1 species